GGAUGGAUAGCUCAGUGGUAGAGCGCUGCAUUCACAUUGCAGAUGCCGGGGGUUCAAAUCCCUCUCCAUCCA
rfam:Microgenomates (Daviesbacteria) bacterium GW2011_GWA2_38_17 TS80_C0002, whole genome shotgun sequence.